UACGUAGGGCGCAAGCGUUGUCCGGAUUUAUUGGGCGUAAAGAGCUCGUAGGCGGUUUGUCGCGUCUUCCGUGAAAACUGGGGGCUUAACUUCCAGCUUGCGGUGGAUACGGGCAGGCUGGAGUUCGGUAGGGGAGACUGGAAUUCCUGGUGUAGCGGUGAAAUGACGCAGAUAUCAGGAAGAACACCCGUGGCGAAGGCGGCUCUCUGGGACGGUACUGAC
rnacentral:rRNA from 1 species